CCCUUUGAUACUCUGGGCGGCACGCGCGCUACACUGGUUUAUAUAACGUGUAAUUUGGACGAUAGUCUGUAUAAAUCACUAAUAUAAAACCGUGAAUGGGAUAGUUUAUUGCAACUUACAAACUUUAACUAGGAAUCCCUUGUAGAAGUAGUGAAUUAUACUGCUUCGAAUACGUCCCUGCCGAUUGUACGCACCGCCCGUCGUUUCUUCCGACUGGUACUCAUUGUGGAUUGCGAGGAGAUUCUGUCAAAUCGUCGUAAAAGCUGGGUAUUGGAGGAAGAAAAAGUCGUAACA
rnacentral:rRNA from 1 species